rnacentral:rRNA from 1 species
AUGGCCGGCAGUACUGUGAGAUGCUGCCAACUAUACGCCAUUUGUCAAUAUAAGAAGCUUGAGAAGAAAAUGCUCGCCGGAUGUACAUCGCUGAGGAAAUUGAGGACAUUGGUAUUCAUUGUGCAGUAUGACAUGUUCUUCUACAAAUUGUUUCAAGAUAUAUUACGACAGACACAUAAUUUGCGCCUGCUGCAAAUUUCUGCAGCAUCUGCUGGUUUAAAUCCUUUACUGUGCAGUUCAGUGAAUUUCACCCAUCUUCGCUACUUAAAAGUUGAAGCUGCUGAUGGGCUUGGGGCUUUGCCUCAAAUUUUGAGCAAGUUUUGCCAUCUUCAAAAUGAAGAUUGGAAAUCUCUGCAACUCAGUGGAGGUAUAAUGUCUGCUCUGAGGCUUAGCUUUGAUCAGCUCCCCUACAGGUUACAACAAUGCUUCUUAUUUUGUGCUCUAUUCCCUGAGACAUAUAAGUUUGCUGAUGAGGAGCUAGUCCAAAUUUGGAUUUCGCAGGGAUUUGUGAAGUGUGAUAAUUCAAGUAAGAGACUUGAGGAGAAAGGAUUGGACUAUCUGGCUGAUCUUGUGAACUUGGGCUUCUUACAGCAAGUUGAAAGAGAAGAGACCUAUCAAGGCAGUCAAACUUGCUAUGUUAUGUAUGGUCUUAUGCAUGAUUUUGCAAGGGUAAUCUCAAGAACUGAGUGUGCAACUAUAGAUGGCCGGCAGUACUGUGAGAUGCUGCCAACUAUACGCCAUUUUUCAAUAGUAAGUGAUUCUGGAUAUAACACAGAUCAGCAUGAAAACAUACCUCGCAGUAAGAAGCUUGAGAAGAAAAUGCUCGCCGGAUGUACAUCGCUGAGGAAAUUGAGGACAUUGGUAUUCAUUGCGCAGUAUGACAUGUUCUUUUACAAAUUGUUUCAAGAUAUAUUACGACAGGCACAUAAUUUGCGCCUGCUGCAAAUUUCUGCAGCAUCUGCUGGUUUAAAUCCUUUACUGUGCAGUUCGGUGAAUUUCACCCAUCUUCGCUACUUAAAAGUUGAAGCUGCUGAUGGGCUUGGGGCUCUGCCUCAAAUUUUGAGCAAGUUUUGCCAUCUUCAAGUAUUACAUGUUGGCUCAUGUACUAAACCUACUAUACCUGUCAGGAUUGACCAUGUUUUUAGGUUGCGGCAUCUUGUUACAGAAGAGGGGGCAUACUCUUCCAUUGCUAACAUUGGUAACCUGACAUCUCUUCAGGAGCUACCCAAUUUUGUUGUUCAGAAUUCCAGCGGCUUUGAGAUAACACAACUCCAGUCCAUGAAAGAGCUUGUACGACUUGGGGUGUCUCAACUUGAAAAUGUUAAAACUCGGGAGGAGGCUUAUGGGGCAGGAUUAAGAGAGAAACAACACUUGAAAGAGCUGCACUUGUCCUGGGGGGUUGCCUCGUCGGAUGAUGAAUAUGGUAUGUACAUGAGCUCCGGUAUGGAUUGGUUAUCAGUAGAGAUUAUUGAGGGCCUUGAACCACACAAUAACCUAAAGCAUCUGCGGAUAUCUGGGUACAAUGGGCAUCUCUCCCCAAGUUGGCUUGCCAACAGUAUCUCUUUGCAGACUCUUCAUAUAGAGGAUUGUGGAAAAUUGGAAAUACUUCCAUCUUUUGAACAGCUCUCGUUCCUUAGGAAGUUGAAGUUGACAGAAAUGCCAAGUAUGACAGAAGUAUCAAUUCCUUCGUUGGAGGAACUGGUGUUAAUUCAAAUGCCAAAGUUGGAGCGGUUUUCCUGCAUUUCCACUAGGGACUUGAACUCAAAUUUAAGGGUUCUGAAGAACCAGAGAUGUCCUGCAAUGAAGAUCUUUCCUCUAUUUGAGAGCUCCCAGAAAUUUAAAAUCGAGCAGAAGUCAUGGUUGCCCAGUCUGAGGGAACUCAUUAUCAAUGGAUGUUCUAAUUUACUUGUGCCACAUCCCCUUCCUCCAUCACCUACCAUUUCCAAACUAUCCAUCGUUGACGUUCCAACACUCCCAAGGAUAGAGGGAUCAUCUGGCGACACACUAACAAUUGGAUUGAGGAGUGAGGGCUAUGAUAAUUUUGAUCCUUCUUCUGAUGUGAUGACUAUGCUGGAUUGCAGAAUUUUGGCAUUCCACAACCUGAGGGGCCUCAGAUACCUCCGUAUAGAUGAGCAUACCCGUGCAGAUGAGACAGCUGCAAGUUGCAAUUCCCUCCCAUCUCUUGUCACUCUCAGAAUUAAGUGUUGUGGAAUAGCAGGAAAGUGGCUAUCUCUGAUGUUGAGAUAUAUGCAGGCACUAGAGGAGUUGUUUCUAGAGGACUGCCCAGGGAUAACACAGUUAGCAAUAGAAGAAGAAGAAGAAAACAUUCAAUCUUAUAGUAUCUCAGUUCCAGUGCAUUCGUCGUCAGGAGGUCCAGGUGACACAUUGUUGACAAGCUCAGAUCAAGAUGGACUCUUGUGCCUUCCGCUAAAUCUCAUGUCCUCUCUCAAGAAGAUAUCAAUUCGUGAAUUUCCACACCAAGUAUUUCGCAGGAACCACAAAGACUUGUCUAGAUUUACCUGCCUUGAGAAGCUAAUAAUUUGGGGAUGCCCAAGGCUGCUGUCAUCUUUGGUGGAUAAAGAUGGAAAUGAUGAUCAGAUGAACGGAACAUGGCUCCUGCCAAAAUCACUUGAAGAACUCGAGAUCCGUGGUGAUUCACCGGCAAUGCUGCAGCCCUGUUUCCCCGGGAAUCUAACCUGCCUCAGAAAAUUACAAGUGUGGUUCAGCCCAAGUCUGAGAUCUCUACAGCUGCGUAACUGCACGACACUGGAAGAGUUGGUAAUUGGAAACUGUGGAUCACUUGCUGCAGUAGAGAGCUUGCAAUUCCUUGGCAGCCUUAAGUAUUUCAAAGUAUUCAGAUCCCCUGGCGUGCUUCGAUGUUUGGAGAAUCUGUCAAGGCAGGGCUAUGCUCUAUUCCCUGGACUAGAAAGGCUUGUGGUCGAUGGGCCCUCUGUAUUUACCAUGUCAGUUUGCAAGCAACUCACCUCCCUCCAAUACCUACAACUUGAAAAUUGGGAGUUUGUAACGAGACUAACAGAAGAGCAAGAGAGAGGGCUUCAGCUCCUGCAGUCCUUGCAAGAGCUGGAAUUCCGGGAUUGCAGUUACGAUCUCAAAUAUCUCCCUGCGGCGUUGCACAGCCUUCCUUCGCUCAAGAGGUUGAAGAUCAGUGGUUGUUUGGGAAUCUCAAGGCUGCCGGAACAGGGCCUUCCGCUCUCGCUGCAAGAACUGGAUAUCAGUAAUUGCAGCAAGGUGUUCAAUGAUCACUGCAAGUCUCUAGAAACAGGGAAGCUAAAGGUCAACGUUGUUGGAAAUACACAAACUGCUUGA